rnacentral:lncRNA from 1 species
CCUCAGAAAAAAUAGUUACUAAUAUUUUAUUACCAAUUUAUCCACUUAAAAGCCCAAUGGCCUGAUGGAAAACUUCCCAUCUACCUCCAAUAAAAAUGUCCUGUAGUUGGUCCGAAUGAAAUCUAUAUGAUCAUGAAUCAGAUCUUGGAAUUUCAGUUAGGAAAGGAUCAAAUCUUGGUAAAUCAGUUUGGUCAGGAUCUGAUCUUGGUAUAACUAUUAAAAUACCAGAGUUUGAAAUCAUUGUAUUAAAUCAAAGGUAAUAACGAGUUUGCUUAUAGAGCCUUCACAAAAGCAUAAAAAAAUACACACGAAAUCGGCAUUGCUUCAUUGCUUAAUUGCGAUAAAUAGUAAAAUUAUCCAGUACCUGAAGUUGUGGUACAAAAAUGCAACCGGGAGCUGAUAUUGUUCAUCUAUAAAUUUAAAACUCGAUUCAAACUGUAGAUACCAAAGACAGAUAUGCAUAAACACAAUUCACCUUUCAUCAUCCCAGCUACAAAAUACUCAAAUUCUAUGGUCUUCUCAACUCGUUUCUUUAGAGAAGAUAACUUCUAAGGCAAGACAAACAAGUAAUUGUGGCGUUUCCAGGAUCAAAAGGCAUGGGAAAAAGCCAAUAAUCAGGAUAACCACAGAUUUCAAUAUAGCGUUUAAGCCACUAUGCCAAGAGGAACUAAUUAUCCCCCAGAACUGGUAAUAGACGCUUUCUCUAAUCCAUUAAUUUACAACUAAAUUACAAAACAAAGGUUCAAAGAAUUUGAUGGAAACCAUAAUAAUGGGGAUUAAGGGCUCAUUGGAAGAAGUCGAUAAAAAAAAGAGGGCACACGGCAAAUCUUCCACAAAAUGAAAGACCCAAUCCAUUGCCCGUUCUUAUCUCAUCAUAUUCCCUUUUUAAACUCAACUAAAAUUAAAAAAAUCCAAAAGAAUUUUUCGAUUAAUAUUAGGAAAGGCUUCGGUGUGUGUAACAAUCAGAUCAUUGAUGGCAAUAUCUCACUGAAAUCCGCUAAGACAAUUUUAAAUUAUCAUCAUUAGCCUCCACCAUUCAACAGAUAAAAACCCUCCCCCAAAGAAAACCAUAACUAACAAAAAAAACUUUAAAAAAAAAAGAAUAAAGAAGGUUACUCAGACAGCCAAGGGUUAGUCUUCAACUACUGGGAAAACCCAGAUCAGAAACUCUAGUCCACAAAAAAUUGCAUCAUCAUUGCAAUCUUCUUUAUAUUUUCAAGAAAAGAAAAACCAUUGCAAAACUUGAAAAGCACAAACAAAGAUAGAUAACAGAAAACCAUAAGCUACUUUAUGACCUAUCAAGAUAGUUAACAGAAAUCACCGCCUUGAGAGUGGUGCACCCAUAAUGAGCAAGCAUCCACUCCACUGCCUAACAAAAUUCAUCUCAACUUCAAAAUAUGAGCCAACUGAAUUUCUUAGAAAAACAAAGAAACAAGUUCCUAAUCUUCCCAAAACAAACAUUGUCCCAGCACCUUAAAGGAUACCCUUAAAUCCAAAACUCAACCUACGCCAUUCUCAUCAUCUUCUUCACAGUAAAAGAAAGGUAAGUUUCUUCUUGUUUAGAUUAAGCAAUUUAUGUUUUGGGUCUGAUACCAAAGAUAAAUGAAUAAUCAAUUUCGAGUUCACUAUUCAAAUCCAAUUUCGAAUCAUAAAACAAAAUCCCACACAUUUUCCAAUUUCGAAUCAUAAAAGAAAACUAAGAUGUCUAGAAGAAAGAUCGAAGAAUAUACACCAACAAACAUUCUCCAUUAUCUAAGAUCGUUUAAUUUACAAAGUCCCCCAGUUCAGACAAAAUACUCAAUUUAUAUCGUCUUCUCAACUCCUUUCUUGAGAGAGGAUAAUUCUCAAGGCAAGAAAUACAAGUAUUUGUGGCGUUUCCAGGAUCAAAAGACAUGGGAAAAGCCAAUAAUCAGGAUAACCACAUAUUUCAAUAUAGCGUCUGAGCCAUUAUGCCAAGAGGAACUAAUUAUCCCCCAGAAUUGGUAAUAGACGCUCUACUUAAUUACCCAUUAAUUUAAAACUAAAUUAUAAAACAGAAGGUUUAGAGAUAUUAAUGGAAAAAAUGGGAUUUUAGAGCUCAGUGGAAGGAGAAGUCGUUUAAAAAGAGGGCUCACGGCAGAUCUUCAAAAAUUGAAAGAUCCAAAUCCACUGCCCAUCAACACUUAAGUGUUUUUACCUCAUCAUAGCAAAAAUCAAAUCCCCCUUUAUUUCCUCUGAAUUGAAUUUAAAAAAAAUCAAAAUCCAAAAGGAUUUUUGGUUUUACUAAAAGGAAAGGCCUCAGUGUGUGUAACAAUCAGAUCAUUGACAAUAAUAUCUCACUGAAAUCCGCUAAGACUAUUUUAAAUUAUCAUCAUUAGCCUCAACUCCACCAUUCAACAAAUCCAAACCCUCCCCCAAAGAAAACCACAACUAACAAAAAAACCUUUGAAAAUAAAUAGAAUAAAGAAGGUUACUCAGACAGCCAAGGGUUAGUCUUCAACUACUGGGAAAACCCAGAUCAGAAACUCUAGUCCACGAAAAAUUGCAUCAUCAUUGCAAUCUUCUUUAUAUUUUCAUGAAAAGAAAAAUCAUCGCUUAACUUGAAGAUAACAAUUGAAAAGCACAAACAGAGAAAAAACAUAAAAGAGAAAAUUGAAAAAUACUUGCCGAUCUAAACUUUUUUUUUUUGAUGAAACAAACAACGCCGAAGAGGAGAAGAAGAGAGGUGAGACUAUUGAUGGGAAGGGUGGUUCAAAGGAGAAUAUAUAUAGUGCGAGUGAGACCUGAAAUUAGGGUUUUUCAAAGAGUAUUAUUAUGUUUGGGCUAGGGUUGACUGAUUUCAGGGAAUUGGUUGUCGGCUGAAAACUGAACCCGGUUCAAAGGUUUUGGAUAACAACCGUUAUGGC